rnacentral:rRNA from 1 species
CCUACGGGCGGCAGCAGUGGGGGAUAUUGCACAAUGGGGGAAACCCUGAUGCAGCGACGCCGCGUGGGUGAAGAAGCGCCUCGGCGCGUAAAGCCCUGUCAGCAGGGAAGAAAAUGACGGUACCUGAAGCAGAUGCCCCGGCUAACUCCGUGCCAGCAGCCGCGGUAAUACGUAGGGGGCGAGCGUUAUCCGGAUUUACUGGGUGUAAAGGGGGCGCAGACGGCGAUGCAAGCCAGGAGGUAAAGCCCGGGGCUCAACCCCGGGACUGCUCUUGAAACUGGGAGGCUAGAGUGAAGGAGGGGCAGGCGGAAUUCCUGGUGUAGCGGUGAAAUGCGUAGAUAUCAGGAGGAACACCGGUGGCGAAGGCGGCCUGCUGGACUGCAACUGACGGUGAGGCCCGAAAGCGUGGGGAGCAAACAGGAUUAGAUACCCCUGUAGUC